rnacentral:rRNA from 1 species
UACGUAGGGUGCAAGCGUUAAUCGGAAUUACUGGGCGUAAAGCGUGCGCAGGCGGUUUUGUAAGUUUGUCGUGAAAGCCCCGGGCUCAACCUGGGAACUGCAUUUGAGACUGCAUGGCUAGAGUAUGGAAGAGGGAAGUGGAAUUUCCGGUGUAGCGGUGAAAUGCGUAGAUAUCGGAAGGAACACCAGUGGCGAAAGCGACUUCCUGGUCCAAUACUGACGUUCAUGUGCGAAAGCGUGGGGAGCAAACAGG